rnacentral:rRNA from 1 species
AGUUUGACUCCGUGGCUACAGAACGACGCUGGCGGCAUGCCUAACACAUGCAAGUCGAACGAAGCCUUCGGGCUUAGUGGCGCACGGGUGCGUAACGCGUGGGAAUCUGCCCUUGGGUUCGGAAUAACAGUUAGAAAUGACUGCUAAUACCGAAUGAUGUCUUCGGACCAAAGAUUUAUCGCCCAAGGAUGAGCCCGCGUCGGAUUAGCUAGUUGGUGAGGUAAAGGCUCACCAAGGCGACGAUCCGUAGCCGGUCUGAGAGGAUGAUCAGCCACACUGGGACUGAGACACGGCCCAGACUCCUACGGGAGGCAGCAGUGGGGAAUAUUGGACAAUGGGCGAAAGCCUGAUCCAGCAAUGCCGCGUGAGUGAUGAAGGCCUUAGGGUUGUAAAACUCUUUCGCCGGAGAAGAUAAUGACGGUAUCCGGAGAAGAAGCCCCGGCUAACUUCGUG